rnacentral:rRNA from 1 species
GAUGAACGCUGGCGGCGUGCCUAAUACAUGCAAGUCGAACGAAACUUCUUUAUCACCGAGUGCUUGCACUCACCGAUAAAGAGUUGAGUGGCGAACGGGUGAGUAACACGUGGGCAACCUGCCCAAAAGAGGGGGAUAACACUUGGAAACAGGUGCUAAUACCGCAUAACCAUAGUUGCCGCAUGGUAACUAUGUAAAAGGUGGCUAUGCUACCGCUUUUGGAUGGGCCCGCGGCGCAUUAGCUAGUUGGUGGGGUAAAGGCUUACCAAGGCAAUGAUGCGUAGCCGAACUGAGAGGUUGAUCGGCCACAUUGGGACUGAGACACGGCCCAAACUCCUACGGGAGGCAGCAGUAGGGAAUCUUCCACAAUGGGCGAAAGCCUGAUGGAGCAACGCCGCGUGGGUGAAGAAGGUCUUCGGAUCGUAAAACCCUGUUGUUAGAGAAGAAAGUGCGUGAGAGUAACUGUUCACGUUUCGACGGUAUCUAACCAGAAAGCCACGGCUAACUACGUGCCAGCAGCCGCGGUAAUACGUAGGUGGCAAGCGUUAUCCGGAUUUAUUGGGCGUAAAGGGAACGCAGGCGGUCUUUUAAGUCUGAUGUGAAAGCCUUCGGCUUAACCGGAGUAGUGCAUUGGAAACUGGGAGACUUGAGUGCAGAAGAGGAGAGUGGAACUCCAUGUGUAGCGGUGAAAUGCGUAGAUAUAUGGAAGAACACCAGUGGCGAAAGCGG